GGCGCACGGGUGAGUAACACGUGGGUGACCUGCCCUCGAGCUCGGGAUACCCCCUCGAAAGGGGGGCUAAUACCGGAUACGUUCCUCGGUUGAAAGAUCGGGGAGGAAAGGUGGCGAAAGCUACCGCUCUUGGAGGGGCUCGCGGCCUAUCAGCUAGUUGGCGGGGUAACGGCCCACCAAGGCUAUGACGGGUAGCUGGUCUGAGAGGACGACCAGCCACACGGGGACUGAGACACGGUCCCGACUCCUACGGGAGGCAGCAGUGGGGAAUUUUCCGCAAUGGGCGAAAGCCUGACGGAGUGACGCCGCGUGUGGGACGAAGGCCUUCGGGUCGUAAACCACUGUCAGUGGGAAAGAUGGGUGUCGGGGCUAAUACCCCCGGCAUCUGACGGUACCUUGCAGAAGGAAGGCCCCGGGCAAAUCUGUGCCA
rnacentral:rRNA from 1 species